rnacentral:rRNA from 1 species
CAACUCGCCUGCAUGAAGCUGGAAUUGCUAGUAAUCGCGGAUCAGCAUGCCGCGGUGAAUACGUUCCCGGGCCUUGUACACACCGCCCGUCACACCAUGAGAGCGGGAACACCCGAAGUCCGUAGUCUAACCCGCAAGGGAGGGCGCGGCCGAAGGUGGGUCCGGUAAUUGGGGUGAAGUCGUAACAAGGUAGC